rnacentral:tRNA from 1 species
GAAAGUGUGUGGUAAUUGGUAACCAGCCAGGCUCAUGCCCUGGAUAUUACAGGUUCGAGUCCUGUCGCUUUUA